AGUGGCGGACGGGUGAGUAACGCGUGAGAAUCUGCCUUCAGGUCGGGGACAACAGAGGGAAACUUCUGCUAAUCCCGGAUGAGCCUUAGGGUAAAAAAUUUAUUGCCUGGAGAUGAGCUCGCGUCUGAUUAGCUAGUUGGUAAGGUAAAAGCUUACCAAGGCAACGAUCAGUAGCUGGUCUGAGAGGAUGAGCAGCCACACUGGGACUGAGACACGGCCCAGACUCCUACGGGAGGCAGCAGUGGGGAAUUUUCCGCAAUGGGCGAAAGCCUGACGGAGCAAGACCGCGUGGGGGAGGAAGGCUCUAGGGUUGUAAACCCCUUUUCUUUGGGAAGAACAAAAUGACGGUACCAAAGGAAUCAGCCUCGGCUAACUCCGUGCCAGCAGCCGCGGUAAUACGGAGGAGGCAAGCGUUAUCCGGAAUGAUUUGGCGUAAAGCGUCCGCAGGUGGCAAUGUAAGUCUGCUGUCAAAACCCAGGGCUCAACUCUGGUCAGGCAGUGGAAACUACAUAGCUAGAGUUCGGUAGGGGCAAAGGGAAUUCCCGGUGUAGCGGUGAAAUGCGUAGAGAUCGGGAAGAACAUCGGUGGCGAAAGCGCUUUGCUAGACCGAAACUGACACUCAGGGACGAAAGCUAGGGGAGCGAAUGGGAUUAGAUACCCC
rnacentral:rRNA from 1 species